ensembl:lncRNA
AAAAAACCUAUCUGAGGAUGUACGAAUUCCAACGCGCUUUAGUUCUGGGCUGCUUCACUCCUUGCAUGAAUUUUACCUGGGUGUCGGGGCUGUGUGCGCAAAAGCCAAAACCCCAUUUCCCCCCGUAACACAGGAGUCACAGAGUCCAAGCACUGCUCAACGUGCACCAGUACCUAAAACACGGACGGAUCUAAUCUCGUGGCGUGGGGGAGGGAGGGAUUUUGCAAUGUAAACAUUUUGGGGUGCGAGACCCCACUUUGCGAGUGGAUUGCCGGGAUCAGCCCCUCCCCGCUCUCUUGAUCCCCAGAAGAAAGAAGGGAGGGGGAAAACCUUCCUCUCCCCACCCCCAUUCCUCCCUCCCCUCCCGGCACAUCCUUCUCUCACCCCGCCCCACUACCCCAAAUCCACCCCAUACGUUGCACCUCUCCUCCUCUUCCUCUUCCUCGCCAUCCGACUUCUGUUCCGGGAGUGGGGAGGGGGGGAAAGAGCCCCCUCCCAAAUUGCCUGCUUCUUCCCUCAAGUGGAGCUUCUGCGCCGGAUUCGGGCUCUGCGCCGCAGCUCUAGGGGCGCGCGCUUUCGAAAGGGAAGGAGGGGCGGCAGGUAAAUCCCCCCCACCCACGUGGAUGUUGCAGGAAAGGAAAGGAGAAUCGCGAGCGAGGACAAAGAGGAUUUUCUUUCCUCCCACAUUGAAGAAGGUGAUGGAGAAGACAUUCAGAAUUCUGAGGGAUGGAAUACUUUAUUUCAUUAGCAAUGAACUCAUCAGGAAAUCAGUCUUAAACACAUGACGUGUAUUUGAAGUGCUUGUGUAUAUAUGUAAAACUGAACAGCAACGAAAUUUUGAAGGCAAUGUCAAACAAUGUGAGUAUAAUCUAAGAGGUAAAGUACCUUUUGAGAGA